GAUGAACGCUAGCGAUAGGCUUAACACAUGCAAGUCGAGGGGCAGCGAGGGUAGCAAUACCUGUCGGCGACCGGCGCACGGGUGAGUAACGCGUAUGUAACCUGCCCGCAACAGGGGGAUAACCCGGCGAAAGUCGGACUAAUACCGCAUAAAACAGGGGUCCCGCAUGGGAAUAUUUGUUAAAGAUUUAUCGGUUGCGGAUGGGCAUGCGUACCAUUAGGUAGUUGGUGAGGUAACGGCUCACCAAGCCUUCGAUGGUUAGGGGUUCUGAGAGGAAGGUCCCCCACACUGGUACUGAGACACGGACCAGACUCCUACGGGAGGCAGCAGUGAGGAAUAUUGGUCAAUGGGCGAGAGCCUGAACCAGCCAAGUCGCGUGAAGGAUGACUGCCCUAUGGGUUGUAAACUUCUUUUACAAGGGAAUAAAAUGAGAUACGUGUAUUUUAUUGCAUGUACCUUGGGAAUAAGCAUCGGCUAACUCCGU
rnacentral:rRNA from 1 species